GAUGAACGCUGGCGGCGUGCCUAAUACAUGCAAGUCGAGCGAAGCGGGGAGGGGUGAGUACCACGUGGAUAACCUCCUAGAAGAAUGGGAUAACUUCGGGAAACCGGAGCCAAAGCGGAUACUAAUAGAUGGUUCCGGGCUGCAUUAGCUAGUUGGUAAGGUAACGGCUAACAAAGGCGACGAUGCAUAUCCGACCCGAGAGGGGGAUCGGCCACAAUGGAACGGAGAUACGGUCCAGACUCCUACGAGAGGCAGCAGUAGGGAAUCUUCGGCAAUGGAGGAAAGUCUGACCGAGCAACGCCGAGUGAGUGAAGAAGGUCUUCGGAUCGUAAAGCACUGUUGUUAGGGAAGCGGUAUCCAACCAGAAAGCCCCGGCUAACUACGUGCCAGCAGCCGCGGUAAUUC
rnacentral:rRNA from 1 species